GUGGAUCUUAUGGUACUUGGCGAUUCAACACUUUACACGCAGAACUACAUAUUUACAACUUACAUUUUAUGACAAAUGCACAGCCGACAGACGAUCAUUACAAGUUCAAGGAUCAGACGCUCUUCAUUUCCGAAUUACGGGAGACAGACACAGGGAUUUUCUCUUGGGGGGUUGACGUGAAUUUUCACACGGUCCUCAAACUUGUGAUUAAAGACUGUACUAUGCCACAGGUGGUUGGCUUCGGACAACCUUUGAAAUUGAAGGUUCCCCACGAGGCAUCCAUCCUAGAGUUUGUCCAUCCAUCUUCCCCGAAUAGAGGGGAGGUUCUAUGGAACACCUCCAGUUCCUAUGACGAUGUUUCCAAGGGUGUUAUUCAGGAGUCCUACUGGAUGGUUCGUGCGGCAACCACCGCUGACAUGGGUUCUUACACUUUCCGGAAACAAAGUGGGGCAGAGGUCUCGAAAACACAGGUGACCAUUACAGCCAAUGUUCAGGCUUUCAAUAUGGAUGAGGAACUGUAUGGAAGUGGCAUCUGGGGAACCAAUCUUCAGAUCCCUGACCAUGAAAUAUCGGUGGUUUUCAGUCCACAACCAGGCGAGGAAUACCGGAUUGUUAGCGGAGGGACACAAACGGACGAGGGAAAACGGCUCUUUGAGGAUCGGAUUCGGUUGCGAGGCAGCCCGAAUGCAUUCAUCCUCGAGCUGGAUGAUAUACAGAGGAGUGAUGCAGGCAGAUACCAGUUUUUUGACAAGGAUGGAAUUCUGGUUGCUCUGAGGAUUCUACGUACAUACCAGCAGACCUACUACAUGUAUCUUUUGGCACUGAUCCCUGUAGUGCUCCUCAUACUGCUCGGCGUGUGUGUGUGGAAGUGCUGCUGUAACAAAGGCAAAAGCCGCACCCCCUCUGCCCCAGCAGCUACGGCUCGCCAGUGCCAUGCAGCCCUAUAGUGGAAUAGAGGUGAGUCAGCCUGAGCCAACCAACGAGACAGGGGCUCACCGUCCUUCUGACACGCCCCUUCUCCUCCCUCAUCUGUUGAGUCUUCGCCCCAGCCCCAGCCCCAGCCCCAGCCCCAGUUCCAGUUCAAUAACAUGGGUGACUUUUUCAAGGACUUCACCGACUUCACCGACUUCACCAACUUCACCAACUUCACCACCUCUUUCAGCACGUCCACUACGAACACCACUACCACCGUCUUCCCGUCCUGUACUAGAAAUCAGAGUGGUCCCACUUUUCAACACUGGACCUCAAACAAUGAAGACAUGUCAGACAGGUGUGAAACCUCUUAAUUGCAACCGUUGCUACUUCUCCUUCCACUGCUGGAGGGAUUGUGUUGAGGUGGUCUGUGAUUAGGAAGAAUAUUACACCCUGUUUAGAUGCACCCUGAAUGACAGAUCUAUCAUUAUCAUCUAUCAUCAAUGACAGAUCUAUCAUUAUCUAUCAUCUAUCUGGUAUAUUUGUCAAGAAAAAUAGUUAUGUUAUCUUAAUUUGAUACUUUUUUUGUUUUAUGUUCUUUGAAGGCAUGCUUUAUUUAGAACUUUUCCAUUGGCCUGUUACACCACACAAUGCUUGCAGAUUUAGUUCUGGCCAUUAUUAAUCUGUGUCCUGUGCCUAAUAAGUUUCUGUGCCUAUUGUCUGUCAGAAAAGCCUAAUACUGAACAACUUUGUCAGGGGUAAAUGUUGCAGGUUUCCAAAACAGCUUUUUGGUAAUUUAGCCUUUGGGACCAUUUCUGUAGACACUAACCACAGCCUAUAAGAUCCACAGGGAGGUGAAGAAUUGUACUUGUUCAAAAAUCUGAAAAACAUUACCAAACACACACCAUUUCCUCACACCUCGGACCUGUGCAUAUGUUAUAUGUUAUAUGUAAAUGUAAACUACAUUUGUAAAUGUUUGUGUUUAUGCCCCCUACUACACUGUCUGCCCAGUGCCAGUGUGCCCAAUGCCCACCCAUACAGUACCCUUCAACAGAGUGCAAAAGCUGCAGUGUGUGUCUCUGUGUGCUCACAACCCUAAGGGCCCACAGCGUGGAUUACUCACAUACCACAGUACCUCAGAAAUAUUCUUACACGAUCAUAAAAAAAAAGUGUAACAUGUGUUUCAUAAAUGUCACAUAUGUCAUUUGAAGUAACACUAUGCAACAAUUUGACACUUUUUGAGAUAUGGCUUUAUAGGCAACUAGUUUUGGUACCAUCCUCAAAUUCAUUUUGAUAGCAUAUGGUCAUGUGAAGGACAGAUAAACACCUGUGUCUUCCCCACUAGCCAUCCAGGAUAUGCCCUAUGUAGUUCUGUUUAACGGGCUGGUACACCCUGCAAAAAUGGAAGAAAAGCUUAUACACGCAUGACAUUGCCAGCUAAACUGCCAAAAUACACCAGUUAAAGGCCCUUAGUGUGUUGGCAAGCUUCUAUCAGUGUCAGCUGUUGGUGGUGUUUGCAAGGUUUUUGCAUGCCUUUUAGGUAGUUAGCUUACUAGUUUUUGGAACAGAACUCCGUAUUGCUGCUUUUAGAUCAGGUCAACGUAAUUUUGACAGUGCCUUAUAACAGGCUGUUCUAACCUAGCACUUGUUGUCUUGAGAAAUGCCAUGUCUUUUAAAGCGAUCAUAUGAAUUAGCAGUAACUGUUGUGUAUUGUGUUAAACAUUUCAAAAUGAAAUGCAAAAUUAAUGUAAAAAUGCACUGAAAAAUGUAAAUGUAAAUACUAUUGUCAAAAUAGUUGGAAAGGCUUCAGUUGCUCACAGGUUUUUAUUGACGUUUUUAGUAGAUUAUAAACAAAUCUAAUAUAUUGUUAAAAUGUAAUAGAAGGUUGUGGCAGUUUUUAUGUGAAAAGUCAGUGUUAACUUUUAAGGAAGAAAACAACAAUCCUGAUAAUGUUUUUGAGUUGCUCUUCUGUGUUUUCCCACCUUGAACAGUCUGUUUUGUGGAAUUUUUUUUUUUAAAUAAAAAGACUCUUUUC
ensembl:lncRNA